rnacentral:rRNA from 1 species
UACGGGGGGGGCAAGCGUUGUUCGGAAUUACUGGGCGUAAAGGGUCUGUAGGUGGCCAACUAAGUCAGACGUGAAAUCCCCUCAGCUUAACUGGGGAACUGCGUCUGAUACUGGUUGGCUUGAGUGCAGGAGAGGAAUGCGGAAUUCCAGGUGUAGCGGUGAAAUGCGUAGAUAUCUGGAGGAACACCGGUGGCGAAGGCGGCAUUCUGGACUGCAACUGACACUGAAAGACGAAAGCCAGGGGAGCAAACGGG